rnacentral:tmRNA from 1 species
GGGGGUGAAACGGUUUCGACGUUGCAUGUUGAAGUGCCGGAAGCGAGCCGAGGUCUCCGGAGUCCUCGUUAAAGAGCCGGAAACACCAAUAGGUGCCGAAGAUAACUUCGCCCUGGCAGCCUAAAUAGGCUGCUCGUCUGACCGGAGGGUACCUACCUCGCCGGA